GAUGAACGCUGGCGGCGUGCCUAAUACAUGCAAGUCGAGCGAACAGACGAGGAGCUUGCUCCUUUGACGUUAGCGUCGGACGUGUGAGUAACACGUACGUAACGGACCUAUACGACGGGGAUAACUUCGGGACACCGGAGCUAAUACCGCAUAAUAUUUUGAAUCGCAUGGUUCGAUAGUGCAAGAUGUCUUUUCUAUGACUUAUAUAUGGACCUGCGCCGUAUUAGCUAGUUGGUAAGGUAACGGGUUACCAAGGCAACCAUACGUAGCCGACCUGAGAGGGUGAUCGAGCACACUGGCACUGAGACACGGUACCGACUCCUACGGGAGGCCGCAGUAGGGAAUCCUCCGCAAUGCGGGAGAGCCUGACAGAGCACAGCGGCGUGAGCGAUGAAGGUCCUCGGACCGUAAAGCUCUGUUGGUAGGGGGGAACAAAAGUGUAAGUAACUGUGACGGUAAUGACGGUACCUGAUGAAAAAGCCCCGGCUAACUACGUG
rnacentral:rRNA from 1 species